rnacentral:lncRNA from 1 species
AUUUCCUGCAGCGAGUGUUAUCCAGCUGAAGGUAAAGAGACUCCCGGGUCCUCGGUCGCUGCAGCCCGGCUCCGUAGGCUUUUGCUGCCCUUUCCCUCGCUCUUCCUGGAGGAGGAGGUGGGGUUUCACUCCCCUGGCUUUUAUUUUUUAACACUGUGCCUUGAUCUAAAGAUCCAGUCACUGUGUAACGAGACUAUUCAUCUACGUGAGCCCCCAAAUGUCCCUCAUAGGCUGCUAAGAGACCCCGGGGGAUCCUGAGGAAUCGAAGGAGAUAAAGGAUCGCUCGUCCCACCGAUGCCUCGGACCGGCUGCUUAUUGGCUGGAGCCGGGCUGUCAAACAGAGUGCUUUGUGCUGAUUGGUUUUGCUCUCUAGCCGGCGGGGAGAGUUCAGUGGAAGAGGCAAGGGACGGCUUCUGGGUACAGACAGGGAAAAUGAAAAACGACGCCGAAGUGCUUUGGAGCCCAGGGCCCUGCUGGGAGUGUCCGGGGGUAUUGGUGGGGUGGCAAGGGACCGGGACGGUGGAGAAAGGGGGAGAGACGCGCUGGUCUUCCCAAGCCGCACCGUGCGGGACAUGCGCAGAAGCUUCCCCUGGCUUCAGGACCACAUUUCCCACAAGCCCAAGCGAAGCGCUAGGUCUGUCGGCCUAGGCCUGGGGCUGUGGAGACAUAGCAACAACUACCACUGGUACCUUGGAGAGCUACCAGAAGGAAGAGUACGCGGGAGAUUGCCAUUUCUUUUCAUCCAGUCUCCUUUAGGCACUUAGCGACCUGCCAUUCCCUGAUCUGCCUCCUGGGAACUCUGUUGUUUUCUACAAGGAGAAGGGAAUGGUCCCGUUUGGCCCUCCAGUCAGCUUUCAGGAUGUAGCUGUGGAGUUCACCCAGGAGGAAUGGAGGCAGCUGGACCCUGCACAGAGGAACUUGUUCAAGGAUGUGAUGCUGGAGAACUACAGCAACCUUGUCUCUCUGGGUAAAGAUGGUUUCCCUCUCUGGUUCAGAAUGUGCUCAUUGGAUGAUCUUCACAUUCUCAUUCACUGGAAGCCACGUGGCAUCUUGAGUGUUUUCCUGUCUUUGGUAGCCACAGCUAGUUUGCUGGGGGAUGGGGUGGGGGGAUAUCCUACAAGAAAUGUAACAUCGGCUCACAGCAUUCCAAAUUUAGAGUUGGAAGGCUCAUCCUUAGAGAUCAUCUAGUCCAAACCCCAUAUUUUUCAGAUGAGUACAUUGGAACAGAGACUCUGUUCAAAGUACUUUCCCCUUUCUUUCCCCUGAGCAGGACUUGCUGUUCACAAGCCAUGCAUUAUCUUCCAUCUGGAGAAAGGAGGAGCCCCAUGGAUUCCAGAGAGAGCAGUCCCAGAAGGCACCUUUCCAGGUGGGUGAGGGAAAACCAGGCAGGUGAGCGUCCCUCCAAAGAACAGCUGCAGCCUCCUGGUCCUUCAGGGCAGCAUCAUUGUGGCCCACUCCUCAGCCUUUCCCAGGUUUAGGGAGACGAUGCCUGUCCAGGUUGAUCUUGUGUAUGUUCCCCUUUACUUCAGGCAGCCAAUUUCCACAGGAUACUGAAUAUUAGAUCUAGGAAGGACCUCACGUACGUAUCAUCUCUACCAUCUGCUUUUCUAGGUGAGGCUCCUGAGCCCUGAAGUGAGAAAGAGUGACAAUGUCAGGAUCAGAAGGGACUUCUCAGGCUAUGUAGGCCAACCUAUACUUUUAGAAAAGAACCAAGAGAUGCAGAAUCUGUUCUAUGUUGAACCUGCCAAGUGUCCAGCCCUUUCUUUCAUACCUUCAGUGAGGCAGAAGCCAGCACCUACAAGGCAGCCUUCGAUAGCUCCCAUGGUAGGGGUGUGUUUACCAUCUUUGUUCCUUCUGCUUGUAGCUCUGCCCUGGGGACCCAAACAGCAUGGUUCAAGUCCCUCUUCUACAUGACAGCUCUUUUAAUAUUAUAAGACAGGGGCAGCUUGGAGGCUCAGUGGAUGGAGAGCUAGGUCUAGAGGAGGGAGGUCCUGAGUUCAAAUUUGGCCCAGCUGUGGGAACCUGGGCAAGUCAUUUAACCCCCAAUUGCCUUACUGCUCUUCUGCCUUUGAACCAAUGCUUAGUAUUGAUUGUAAGGCAGAAGGUAAGGGUUUUAAAAGUACUACAAGACAGCUUUGAUAUCCCCACACAGCUCCUCUUCUCCCUUGAGCCAGUUCUCAUAUGCAAUCAAACAUCAUUACCCCCAGUGGUCAUUGUAAUAGUUAAAAUUAAAUUAUGAGUCUGCUAGCAGAAUUAGUAACUUCAUUACAUCAAAGUAGUGAUAGGAAAGAGAGGGAAAUGUAGGAAAGAGAUAGAAAGUAGUUUAGCUAAAUACUUUAUGUGCCAUUUGAUGGAUCGAAGCUCACCACUGACAGGGGUUCCUUCAGAUUCUAAUCUCCAGCCACAAGAGUGCAAGAGAGAGCAUCCAGUGCCUUGGUCGCCUUAUAAACAAUUUUAUCCACCCACAUGCUCUCCCCUGUCACAUCUCAGGAACCAAUCAUAGUUCCUUAAUUUCCCCGGCACUACCCAGGGUGGGAGCAGUGCCUGUGGGAUCAGUUUCCUGUCUCAUUGGUUUCAACUUCCUUUCUCUAAGAGUUGGUUGAUACCUGCACAUCUCAAUGGAAAAUGACCUCCAGCUCACUGAUGGAUGAUGUCAAACAAAGGGAGGAAAAUUUCCAUCCCACAUUAUCAUUCUUUUAACCCCAUUUGGUUUAUCAGCAUCCUUCCUCACAUUUUAUCUCUUGGACUUCUCUCUCUCAGAAAUCUUGUGCUCUUCCUGCUGCAGUCACAGUUUGUCAUUUCUGCUUGUCCUUCCCUCCAUUUUCAGAGAAACAUGCUUAAUCUUCCUCUAUCUAUCAUUGCCAGGACUUCUCUCCUUUCCAGGGUCAUCCCAGAACCCACCCAGGAUUAACAGAUUAUACCAGCAUCAGGAGUGCCCUUCCUGAGAAAAAUUAUACUUGUGACUAAAAUGUGUCUCUGGAUCAGUGUACUAUGUUAUUAAUUAGUUAAUUAUGUUAAUUAAAAUAAGUUAAAAAAAGAGUGUCCUUCCUGGGCCCCGGAUCCCCUUCCCCUCCCCUGCUUGACUCCCACAUGGGUUGGAUGGCAUGGGUGUCAGCAACUCUAUUCUUUAUGAUGAUGUGGACAACCCUCUGAGGCCUCAUCAUUUACUCUGUUGCUGACUCCUUAGGUAAUCCAGGCCUGCCCUGCAGUUCAUGGGCACUAUUGUCUGACCUACUGCUGUAACAUAGGGACCCUCAGACCUUGUAACCCCCCCACCUCCUGAAUCCUGGCCCUUUGCAUAUGCCUUGCAUUUUCUGUUUAGAGUAUAAGCCUGUGUGAGAGCCUGGACUAUCUUGAUUUUUCUAUUUGUCUCCCCAGGUUUAGCUCAUAAUAAGUACUUAAUUUAUUUGUUCACAACUCAUGUGAAUAAACUUCUACUAAGCAUGCCUCA